CCCCUCCCCCCCCCCCCCACUGUCCUAACUGUCCCAACCGCCCGGUGCGCGCGGCAGUUGGAGCCCGGCAGACAGCAGUGCAAGGGUCCGCGGGGCGCAGGGGCCCAGGGAGCCCCGUCGGGCUAAGAUGGCGGCCAGCCCGGCCUGGGAGGCCACCCCCAACCCACGGCUCGAAGUCGAGAGCGACCGGCCCGGCCAGACACGCUCCCUUUCCCCAGAGCCCCGGGCACCCCAAACUGAAAGCCGGAAGCAAAAGGGUAGUGUUUUGGCAGCUGCUCAAAAGGAUACGAUUCCUCUUCUACCUCUGGGUCUUGCGCCCAGAUAAACUUCACAGGGUGUCGACCAGGACCCCAUUUCGCUCUGAGGGAAGAGCGGGUCUCUGGCUAGUGGAUGUGCUCUGCUCCCUCGGGCAUCAUUCGCUGUGACACGGGGAAGUCAGUUACCCUGUAUUAUCUGGCUUACAACCUGCCCUGGAGCAGAAACCGCACCUUGCUUCUGAAGAGCAAAGAAAAAAUGAUUUUUCCAAAGUUAUGGCUCCAUUGAGCCAAAGGCAUCCUCCUUUCUUCCUUCGCUAAGGCUGAAACCCGAAUUGCUGCUAACGACUGGUCUGCAUAAGUGGACUUCUGUGAAAUGAGCUAAAGCAGUGAUUCACAAGCAGGGUGCUGUGGCACUCUGCACUGCCUUGAGAUACUUUCAGGGGUGCCCUGUAGUGCUAAACAACAAGGAAGUUUUGGGGUUUUUACCUCCCUGCCUGCCAUCUGACACCUUCAGGGAAGGAAUUCUACCUGAUCAACACAGCUCACAAAGACACUUUCAUGGACCCAGAGGGACAACCUUCCAUCUUCAGCUCCCUCUGUGCAAAAAUGAAGUUUAUUUCCUACCUAUGGAGACUUUUUACCAUCUUGUACCAUCUACACUUUUCCCAGAGCCUGAUGAAGGGACUUUGAUCCCAAAAGCUUGCAGAAAAGGACAGUUUUCUUGCCAUUUUCCAUUUGGUCUAAUAAAAGGUAUCAUUUUGGAACCAA